rnacentral:rRNA from 1 species
UACGGAGGGUGCGACCGUUAAUCGGAAUCACUGGGCGUAAAGCGCGCGUAGGCGGUCUGUUAAGUGGGAUGUGAAAUCCCCGGGCUUAACCUGGGAAUUGCAUUUCAAACUGGCCGACUAGAGUACGGUAGAGGGAGGUAGAAUUUCCUGUGUAGCGGUGAAAUGCGUAGAUAUAGGAAGGAAUACCAGUGGCGAAGGCGGCCUCCUGGAUCGAUACUGACGCUGAGGCGCGAAAGCGUGGGGAGCAAACAGG